rnacentral:lncRNA from 1 species
CUUGCAUUCUAUCAGUGGGAGACAUACACUCCACCAUUGUUACACUAAGAUUACUCAAAGUUAUUGAGAAGAAAUACAGGUUCUGGUGGACAAUUUCCAGUCUGGAGUCUGCAUUUGGAGAGAUUCUACAGCACAUGCAUGAAUGAGGAGGAGGUGGUGUCCCAAGGGCAUUUAUAUCUUUGCUCUGUAUUUGGAGGAGAAUGGAGAGUUCCAAAUGAUCAGAGCUUGCACAUUACUAGAUCCCCUUUCUAGGGAAAAUGCUGCGAUCAAUUGAAGUUGUCAUCCUCAUGAAGCUCAUACUGUUUUGCCUGAAAAAUAA